UUACAAUCGAAAGGAAUAGGGUUGUCAAAAGGAGCAUAGAAACGAGGGAGGGAGGGAGAGAGGGGAGAGUGACUGACCACACGUCAGUUAAAUCUCCCUCUCCCCGUUAGUUAAAUCUCUCUCUCCCCAUCAGUUAAAUCUCGCAUCUUUGUCCUCUCUUUCAAGGGUUUCAGAUCUUCGACUCUGUUAAUGUUAUAUCUUCAUUUUGUGCUUCUUUGUUCUACUUCUGUUCUGCUCACUUUUCACCCAAAACUCUUUGAUUUUCUGCUUUGCUUUGCUUUGCUUUGCUUUGCCCUCAGAUCUUAGACCAAAAGCCUCCAUCUCCAACCUUCACUAUGUUGAAUUGUGAGCUGAAAGAUGAUUUUUUUAAUUUUUAUUUUUAUAUGUUGGUUAGUUAAGAUCAAAGUGGAAAGUUACAUGCUAAAUAUGAAGAAUUUUGUUUUUGGAAUCUAAAUAUGGUGUUUGAUAUUGAGCAACUGCUUUUGAUUUUUGACGUAUCGAAUGCACCAUACCUGUUUGUAAAUAUGUCUCACUGAGAAUUUCUUUUCAUGUGGAUUUUGUAUCCUUCGCCCAUUUGAUUUCAUGCAAUUCUAUGUAGCUCUGAGUUGCGAAGAAUUCAUCAGAAGUUGGAUAUUGCUUGAGUUAUUGGUGCAUUUAUAAUAAUGAACAAGUGCCAGAUAAAUUUUGUAACUUCCACAAAUACGCACACUAUCUAUUUGAGAAUGGGAGCUAUGAGGAGGCUAUGGAAUAGUUUUUGGCAUCUCAAGUAGAAAUCACAUAUGUGCUUUCUUUAUAUCCAUCUAUUGUCCUUCCGAAAUCAGCUGUGGUGCCUGAACCGAAGAAGUAUAUAGACAUCACCGGAGAUACUCCAUAUCUGUCAAGAGGCUUGUCUGGUAUAUCAGAUGAUAUGGAAUCCCCACCUACUUCACUACUGUUGGAAUCUGAUGAGAGUGCUGCACUUGAGUCCAAGAAAAUGAGCCAUAACACGCCAAUCGCUCUUAUCAAGUUUUUGCAGAAGAAGAAUGGCACUUUUAGUUUUGUAGAAUAAGAAAUGCAGGAAAUCAGAAAAUGGGAUUUCAUUAUUUAAUAAAAAAAAUAAAUAGGUAUUAAUCCUUGUAAAAAAAAAUAUUUGUAAAUUUUGAUUUUAGUUUUUUUGUUUUGUUUUGUUUUGUUCUAGGUGUGUGAUUAGAUAAUGAUGAUUGACGGCCAUUGGGCCUAAUGGAUCUUCAUAAGAAUUGAUGGAGAAACCCUAAAGUCUAUUGCAUCACAUUGGCCACCUCAACGCUGGCAGGAAUAUGAACCACUCUUCACUUACUGUCGUGAUAAUGGAGUUAGAAUUGUUGCUUGUGGCACUCUACUUGAGGUCUCGAGGACUGUUCAAGCUGAAGUCUGCUUCUUUUGGGCCAAGUUCAUAUCUAUCUGCACAAGCAAGAGUAGUGGAGGAAUACACAAUGUCCCAGGUCAUCUUGUGAGCGAUGUCAAAUGGAGGAGCCACUGGUAUGCUAGUAGUGGUUACUGGUGCAAGCCAUGUUACAUAUGGGUCAAGGGGGACUGGGCUACCAGCAAGAAUUUCAAGGAAGAUACCAACGAAAAAUCAUGUUGUUAUCUUACUUAACCCGGAAGGGCAAUACAUAAGAAGGGAGGGAGAAGUUCCUCUUGCUGAUCUCUUAUGGUGUUCUGCUGCCAGACCCUGUAGUAGGAAUUGUUUUGAUCGUGCUGAAAUUGCCCGAUUGAUGAAUGCAGCUGGCAGGAGGAGAGAUGCCCUACCCCAAGUUUUUAGGGGCACUUUUUCUGGAUACAAUAUGAAUAUCAAGCAAAUAGUGGAAUUAAUAUCCUUCAAUAAACGUAACUUUUUCAAGAUCUCUCUGCCUUGUUCUCCUUGGUGAUGAAAUAAUGCAACAUAGGCUUGACUUUAUUGAGACUCAGGAUGUGGUGGAAACUACACUGGCUCUUAAUAACUAUAGCAAAGCUUGUGAUUGUGGGCAGGGUGCUGUCUUUUUCUCUGUUGCCAGGUAGACCUUCCCACUUUGACAGUUCAACUUUGUUGUCAAUUUUA